rnacentral:piRNA from 1 species
UAAUAUGAGGCACCAGUAAAUUCUAUUAG